UACGUAGGGGGCAAGCGUUGUCCGGAAUCAUUGGGCGUAAAGCGCGUGUAGGCGGUUCGAUAAGUCUGCUGUGAAAGUCCAGGGCUCAACCCUGGGAUGCCGGUGGAUACUGUCUAGCUCGAGUCCGGAAGAGGAGUGUGGAAUUCCUGGUGUAGCGGUGAAAUGCGCAGAUAUCAGGAGGAACACCAAUGGCGAAGGCAGCACUCUGGGACGUGACUGACGCUGAGACGCGAAAGCGUGGGGAGCAAACAGG
rnacentral:rRNA from 1 species